UAUUAGAUAAGUAUAAUACAUUCUAAACCAUUAUUAUAAAAAAUUUGACUUAAUUUAGAUAUUUUUAUGCACAAUGAUAUAAAAAAAAUAUUUUCUAAUAUUUCCAGAUUAGAUGCACAGCCAGAGAACAGGUUGAGGGGGAUUAUAAACAUCUCUAUUAAGGUCCCAUAUAUUUAUAAGUUGAUAUUAGGGAGCUAUAACCAUAGUUAUUAAAGGCUUAAGGCG
rnacentral:misc_RNA from 1 species